rnacentral:lncRNA from 1 species
GGGCUCAGGGGCCGAGAGGGAGCUGGGCUUGGGGCGGGGCCGAGACGGAGCGAGGGGUCCAGGGUGUGAGAAACGGGGAGGGGUUUGAGGAGGGGAUUGGAGUGUGGCUCAAGUUCGGGAGGCGUUACCUGCGGAGGGUUUGAGGCAGGCCCAGGAGCGAGCCCACGGUCUGCCGACGCGGGGCCAGCGGCGGGCCCCAGGAUCCGGAGCUUCGGGCGGGGCCGAGUCCAGGCAGGAAUCGGAGUGCCGUAGUACAAUCACAGCUCACUGCAGCCUCAAACUCCUGGGUUCCAGCGAUCCUCCCGCCUCAGCCUCCCCAGUAGCUGGGGCUACAGCCCAGUAAAGGCGCCAUUCCCCAUUUUACAGCUGGGGAAACUGAGUUACAGAGCUUGUCUACACUGAGUCAACAGGAGCAAAUGCUAGAUCAGGUCUAGCUGGAGUACAGUGAUGCAGUCAUAGCCCACUGCAGCCUCAAAAUUCCUGGGCUCAAGCAAUCCACCCACAUCAGCUUCCCAAGUAGUUGGGACUACAGGCCCACACUACUAUACCCAGGAUCUCUCUCUCUCUGCCACCCAGGCCAGAGCGCAGUUGAUGCAGGUCAGGGGAGCCCCCCAGUGGAGCAUAGUGUGUCCAGAACUGGUGGGUUGUUGGUCUCACUGACUUCAAGAAUGAAGCCACGGACCCUCGGGGUGAGCGUCACAGUUCUUAAAGGCGGUGCGUCCGGAGUUUUUUCCUUCUGAUGCUCGGAUGUGUUCAGAGUUUCUUCCUUCUGGUGGGUUGCUGGUCUCACUGGCUUCAGGAGUGAAGCUGCAGACCUUCAAGGCUGGAGUGCAAUGGUGCCAUCUCAGCUCGCUGCAACCUCUGCCUUCUGGAUUAAAGCAAUUCUCCUGCCUCAGCCUCCCGGGUAGCUGGGAUUACAGGGGAGUCCUUGAGCAGAAGGAAGCAAGUUGCCUGAGAUUCUUCAAAGCCCGCAGCCCUUUUGGAGGUAGAAGUUGCUGGUCCCAUCUUGCUCACAAUCCUCCAAAGUUUGAAAGUUAUUUUCCAGGAGACUUGGCUUGCACUGAGAGCUGCCCUCCCACCCUCUCUCCAAAUUUCCUCUUGGGGGUAGCCUAACAAGGUGCUGUCACAGACCCUUGUCGGCCACGAUGACCCCACCCAGACCAUCCCUCUGCUGUUUCACUCUUUGAUAGUCUCUGGAGCUCUCUGGGGAGGGGUGAGACCUGCCGUCUAGUUUGUAUGGUUUGCCCAGGUCUUACAGUCAUGGCUGGCUGCCUCUCUCUGAGAACUAGAACUCCUGAACUUGGUGAAAGACCUCAGCCAUCGAUCAUGUUGAAUUAUCGGGGACACUCAUUUGAAAUCCGAGCCUGUUCCAGAUAGACUCUCUCUCUUUCUGCCCUGACCGUGAGAGAAGCCCUGCUGGACGGUGGAGACACUCGUGGGCUGUGAGCAAGGGAUGCAAAGGCUGCCGGGAAUCCCAUCUUUCCAGCAUCAUCUGCCAAGGCACAUUAGUUCCUGGGUAUCUGGAUGGGUUCUAGCAGCAUUACUGUCAUUGAAGGAAAAAUUUUAGCCAUAUUAAAGGUUAAUGCAGCAAUCUCCACAUAGGCUGCCUGGAAGGGAAGCAGGACAAGGUUAGGUUUUCCUUGUGAUGGACAGGAGGCAGGCGGCCCUCCCACAGCCCUGCCUGGCAAUACAGAUGUGUCCCCAAAAGGCACUGGGGGCCAGCUGGAGUGCUAUGCCGAGGCGGACUGACCCGGGCCGUGGGUUCACUCUGCUGGCAGCGGUUUCCCGCCAGCUCCUUGCAGAGUUGGCAGAUGGCCCAGCCCCACAGCAGGAGCCGGGAAUGGCAGAACGAGACACAACAAUUUGAUAUCCACUUGCCAGAUGAGCCGGGUGUCAUCAGUCGCCUGGCUCUAUGCCCAACCUCUUUUUGCAUAAACACUUAUGGAUUCAGCCAAGAGGAAAAGCACUCUGAUUAUGAAUUGAGCAGAAGGAAACAAAGUUCUGCAGAUAAACACCAAUGAAACAAAAAACCACGAAUAAGAAAAAUGACAGAAAAGGAGAACCUUCCCAGAAUCCUCCUGCCAGUGAACGGUCACCAGAGCAAGAGCAUGGAGUCCCUGGGUUUUGAACUGUGAGAUAAGGAAGAUGAUGAAAACCUCCCUAGCAGCCAGUUCUACAGGGCCUGGAGCUGAUACGAAAAACCUCCCUUCUUUCCCAAAUGGUCCCCAGCUUCCCCGUUCACUGAAGGCCCUGCAGUCGGGAACAGUCAGGACUUUGCACCCAGUUGUUGUGGGUGUUUGGCCAACCCUUCCUCUUGUGUGAUUCAUGGACCUGCAGCAUUGCGUCACCUGUGAGCUUUUGGAAUUGAAGACUCUCAGGGCUCACCCGGGAGGACCUGCUGGGCCAGAAUCUGCAUUUUAACAAGAUGCCUGGGUGAUCUGCAUACACGUUCAGAUCUGAGAAGUGCUGAGAACAUGUGCCCAUGUCUGGAGAGUUUUGGUUGUUGCAGCUGGAGGAGGUGGUGCUACUGGCAUCUAAUGGGUAGAGGCCACGGAUGCUGCUAAACAUCCUACAAUGCCCCGGACAACUCCCACUAAGACAAAGUAAUGAUCCAGCCCCAAAUGUCAAUAGUGCUGAAAGUGAGAGACCCUGAUUCCAUCUUAGAGCUUAGAGAUCAUCCAAGCACAUUUGGCCAAAUUGUUUUUGCUACUGUCCCAUGAAAAAAAGACAGACUCAUGACUGAUGGCAACAUCGAUGGGAAUUUUGUUUACCUCUUCUUGGUGGACUUUGGGAUACCAUCACUUACCAUUUAUGCAAGUUGUACAUUGCACACCUCCAGGGGGCGCCACCCACAUAUUUAUGAAAAUGCCGCCCCAGGAAUUGCACAGUACACAGUCUGUGGCUUAUGGCUAUAAGCAGUUGCUCUGGUUUUGGGGUUGCCCUGGGGUGCUCUGAAACUGAGAGGAACUUUAUUUCUGGCCAUUAGAGGCCCUGAGCAUGACAUUGAGUAUCCUUUCAAGAAAGGAGAAAGGUUGAACAGAGAGGACCUCAUUUUUAUAACUCUUGACCAUCAUCUAGUUACGGAGCAUCCACUUUUCACCCCUGG